GUCUUUUUGAAAAUAAUUUAAAGUCUAAUCUGCCCACUGAAUUUAUUUAAAGGGCUGCAGUAUAUUGACUGUACAAAGGUAGCAUAAUCAUUAGUCUUUUAAUUGGAGACUUGUAUGAAAGAUUUGAUGAGAUAUAAACUGUCUCUUUAUUAAAAAUAGAAUUUAAUUUUUUAGUUAAAAAGCUAAAAUUUAUAUAAAAGACGAGAAGACCCUAUAGAUCUUUAUAUUUAAUUUUUUAUUUUUAUUAUAUAAAAUUUAAAAUUAAUAUAAAAUUAAAUAUUUUAUUGGGGUGAUAGAAAAAUUUAAUAAACUUUUUUUAAAAAUUAAACAUUAAUUUAUGAAUUUUUGAUCCAUAAUUUAUGAUUACAAGAUUAAGUUACCUUAGGGAUAACAGCGUAAUUUUUUUUUUUAGUUCAUAUAAGAAAAAGAGUUUGCGACCUCGAUGUUGGAUUAAGAUAAAAUUUAAAUGCAAAAGUUUAAAAUUUUGAUCUGUUCGAUCAUUAAAAUCUU
rnacentral:rRNA from 1 species